rnacentral:rRNA from 1 species
UACAGAGGUCCCAAGCGUUGUUCGGAUUCAUUGGGCGUAAAGGGUGCGUAGGUGGCGCUGUAAGUCGGGUGUGAAAUUUCGGAGCUUAACUCCGAAACUGCAUUCGAUACUGCGGUGCUUGAGGACUGGAGAGGAGACUGGAAUUCAUGGUGUAGCAGUGAAAUGCGUAGAGAUCAUGAGGAAGACCAGUGGCGAAGGCGGCUCACUGGCCCGGUUCUGACGCUGAGGUGCGAAAGCCAGGGGAGCAAACAGG